GCGCUUGGCAUUUUCUGGAGGAGGUACACGGUAGACCUGAUCCUUUGGGAUUUGGAUGACGUAAGUUCCACGUGGUGGAGGAACAGGCUGCUCAGGAGCAGGAGCUGGAGGUUUCAUGGGCGACUGUAGGUGCUCUGGAGAGAACAGCGGCGUCGUCGGCUUGAACUCAGUGGAUGAUGGAGGCGAGUCACGCGGAUGUACUCUAUCGGCCAUCGUAGAAAAAAGCAAAACCUGUAAAAGGAAAUAUAAAUAGAAACAGAGGUUACUUUAGUAGAGCUUUCUUUUU
rnacentral:misc_RNA from 1 species